GGCUGGAGCUGCCGGGCGGGAGCUGCGAGACGUGAGGCAGCGGCGUGUCCAGGGGGCCGUGGCGCCCUGGGCUGUGUCAGGAAUAGUGUGGGCAGAAGGACCAGGGAAAGGAUUAGAUCCUGUGUCCGGUUCUGUGCCCUGCAGUGCAAAAAGCCAUGGAAGUGCUGGAGCGAAUCCAGAGAAUGGCUGCAGGGCUGGUGAAGGGUCUGGUGUACAAGUGCUGUGAGGAGCGGCUGAGGGAGCUGGAGGUGUUUGGCCUGGGGAAAAGGAGGCUCAGGGGGACGUUGUCCUAGACGGUAGCCAGGUGGGAGUUGGCCUCUUCUCCAAGAAACAAGUGACAGGACUAGAGGAAAUGGCCUCCAGGUGUGCUUGUUCAGAUUGGAUAUGAAGAAACAUUGUUUCACCGUAAUGGUGGUCAGGCAUUGGAACUGAAGGGAAGUGAUGGAGUCACCAUCUCCCAGGCAGUUAGAAGACACACAGAUGUGGAAUUUGGGGCCGUGGUUUAGUAGUGGGCUUGGCAGUGCAGGGUCGGUGAUUGGACACAAUGAGCUUAGAGGUCUUUUCCUACCCAAAUGGCUCUAUGAUUCAGCUGAGUAUGUGCCACCUUCGGGAGUGGCCAUGCUGGCAGCUUGUGGCUGGUGUCUGCGAGGAAUGCAGCUGUUGUGGCCAUUGUGGAUGGUGUCACCCAUCCAGGCAGGUGCCUCACAGGGCAGUGUCCCUUUGGAGACAUCAUGCAGGUCUGCAGUGAGGCAGCAACCAGUCCAGGCACCAGCCAGGGUGGGAAGGCAGCAGCAAUGGGGAUACUGAGACACCUCAUUGUGGCAGGGCUGCUGCUGGCUUUGUGCUGAGCCCAGCAAGGCAACAGCCUGGGCUGGGAGUGGGGCAUGCACCAAACAUCUCUUCACAGAGAAGAGAUGGAACAACUAGAACAACUAGAGUUGUUCCACUUUAAGAUUUUUCCAUAUCUGGAGUGAGUGAAGUAAGGGAAGUGCAGGGCUCCCAUGAGCAGAAGGUAUUGAAAGCUGCAGUGGUGUGUGUGGGCUAGAUCUUAGCUGCAGAACCAGAGAAUGAUGUAAACUGGAAGAGUCCUCUAAAAGCCAUCUGAUUCAGCCCCAGAGCAGGGCCAGCUUAGAGCAUUUUGCUCAUGGUUUUGCCUAGUUGUGUUUGGAAUAUCUCCAAAGGUAGAAACUCCAUGACUUCACUGAGCCUCUCAUCCGAGAUUUGGUUAACCUCAGAUUAAAAAUAAAUUUCUGAUGUUAAAACCUGUGAUGUCUCCCAUCAGUUUGCACUCAAGGUUGCAGGGUUCUGCACCUGGAAGUUGGUGCACAAGGCCAUAAAGGGAAUGUGGCUUGUGACAAACCAAGAAAAUCCUAGCACAAAAAUCAGAAAUAAAAUUUAUCCCAACUGAUGUCAGCAGAUGGACAAAGUGAUACCAAAAAUAACAAUUCCAGUACCAGUUCUGUAAAACUAUUUCCACAUAUUGUUGAGAAGCUUCAUAGCUAUGACAGAAAUAAGAGAUUUGUUUGUAAGGCUGCUGUAUUUGGCAAUUAUUUAACAUGCAGUAGAAAUAUGGAAUGCUGAUAAAAGUCUGGGAUUGCAGAGGUUUAUUUAAAUGCCUAAUUUUAUCCGUUGUGAGUGUCCCCUGAUUUCAACAUUUUGUUAUUCCUCUCUGAUUUUUCUUUGCUUGGGUUAAACCAUUGUAAGUGUGGCAGCAGAGGGAGGAAAUGCAGCUGGAUGUCCAACUCUGUGCCUGAUGAUAUUUACCAGUGCCUUGUUAGAGAGUGUGUGUUAACUCUGUGUCAUAUUCCUUCUGACGUGGUAUGAUCUGGAUGUAAUGACAGCAAUCGCUGAGCUGGUAAGAGUUGCUACCACUGCAGUUAUAACAGUGUCAAAGUGUUUGGAGGAUAUAACUGAAUUCACAUGAAUCAAUAUUAUUUUUCUGAUGGUUCUAACACUUGAAAUUCUGAUUGCCUAGCAAAGGAGCUGGCUGGGAGUGGUGCAAACCAAAAGGUCAGUUUUCUUGCACUUUUUCACAUUCCCUGUGGCUUCUGUCCAUCCUUUUCUUUCAUGAAACUUUCUUGUGACCUUACUUUUAGCAUAACUUAAAACCUACAGAAAAUGCAUGUUUCCAUGCCUAAAAAUGCUAAACACAUUGCAAGGGGCAGAAAAUUGGUUCUAAAACAAGAAAACUAGUCUUGUUUGUUGUGUUUAGCAAUGGGGUUCAUUAUUUACUCUAGCCAGAAAGAUAAACUGGAAGUUGUAAAUGCUGCAAUGUUUUCAGGUUCUGUUUUUUCCCACUGAGAGCUGCAAGACAAUACUUCUGUACCUUUGUGUUUUUUGUUUCAUCCUUGUUUGGUUCCAGAGUAAAGCUGGGAUUUCCCUUGGAAGUUAAUUACAGGAACAGAGACACCUUCUACAGAGAGAAAAAUAUUUGUUCUUGAUUUGAUUAUAAACAAGUGUUUUGUGGAAAACUAUUAGCUCAGAAAGUCUAUUAGGAAAUAUGCUUAUUUGGCAUUGUAAUUAUUCAGUGUUGAAGCUGAGCCUCAUGGAGAUUUGCUCCAUGCUUGACUCUGAAAAGGUGCUUUUUUAAACUGAAAUCCAAACCUGUUUCAAGUAGUCCCUUUAUUUUCUCAUCACAUAGAUGGUCUGUGUAGGUGAAAUUCUCAUAGCCACACUGCAUCUGAGAUCACCUCUGCCGAUGGCCACUGUUAAACUGCAGGCACACAGUUUGUGGUCAUUGGGACUGGGGCUGUGGCCAAGCCUCGUCCCCAGUGGGCCACAGCUGUAAGAAGCAGGUGAGCAGCACUGAAGGCAAUGAGACCUGGAGUGCCCAGGUGCCCUGGCCAACCACCAGAGAGAGCAGAGGGCACCCAGGUGCAAUGCAUGAACAUGAGGGGUAUCAAAGGUUGGGCUGAAGAACAAGAGGAGCAGCUGUUUGCAGCCUUCUGAGGUGAUCUGAUGUUACACUGUAUAUCUAGCUACUUGAAGCCUGCUGUUGAGGUAUGGCAUUCCUCUGUGUGGGCAAAUGCUUAAAGCCUUCUGAAAUUGUGUGGUGACAUUCUGUGUAUUGUGGCUGUUUCAACUGUGACAUUAAACUGAAUUUGAAAUAAUGUAUUGCCUGUUAAAAUUCUUAGGGUCUUAGACUAUAAGUUGCUAAUUUUUAAUUAGGGAAAAAGGUGAUCUGUUUCAAGCAUUUUCUGUAAGUUAUUCACUUGUAAGCAUUGGCAUGUUUGAAAAGGUUUGAUUGAGAAAGGUAAGUGCUACGAAACUUUAAGUAUUCUUUGCUUUUGUAAAAGUACCACCACUAAGUUUGUGGUACUUCUGGAGAAAAUAUAAUGGAUGCCUUUAUGCAGAAGGAGGUCUAGUCUUCAUAUUCCUUUUUUUCCAGCUCAGCUCAUCAGCUGUGCAUUGAGCAGAGCUUCUUCUACCUUGCAAGCCACCAUGAUAAACAAUUCUGAAGGAGAGAGAAGAAAGCCACCUUCCCUGUGCUUCCCAUCACUUUCUAAUAAUCUUGGCUGGCCACUGAAGUCUGGAUUCAGUCUGAAGUCUGGCCACUUUCAUUUCUUCAUUUGUCCCAAUCACUGCCAGUCCAUGGGCCUUUUCUGUAACAGGUGAAUACAUGAUUUAAACUACAGUGAGCUCACAACUUUAUAUGACAGUUCCUGAAAACAGGUAUGAUCUGCAUUCAGUAGCACAGAAGAGAACAUUUAUUUGCUGGUUUUGCUGUUCAGUUAUAUUCAGUUACAUAUUUGGUCUAUUCACAUUCUAAAGUUUAAUUAUUUCACAUAUUUUUUGUGUAGGAAUGAGUUAUGUGUUCAUGUAAUGCGUGGCACUGUAAAUGCUGUGAGAAACAGAACAUUUUUUAAUGUUUGUGCAUGUAUAUUUGCAUACAUAUAUGAGAGCUAUUAAUGCUGUUAUAUUUAAAAAGUAUUAAAGAGUCAGAAGGUGCAUUUUCAUGAUACUGAGUCACACAGAGUAUCUUCAGUCACAAAAAUCCCCCAAUUUUUUGUGUUUUAGUGCCAUUUAAAAAAAAAGUUUGGCUUUUGUAUUUGCUUUCAUUGUGAACUGGAAACUGUUCGUGCUCUUAUAUAUUGUGGAGAUUCUUGGAGGGGAAAACCCCCCGGUUAUUAAAAGAAAUAGUGUGUUAAGUGAGGGUAUGCAUCUGAGUUUUACUAAUAAGCCUACAUCUCCAGAUUUACUGACUACUAGAGGCAUCAUGGUUUCAGAUUUUAAAUAGUGGUCCUGCUCUCUCUGUGCCUUGUAGCCUUGCAUGAAGUAGUCUUGACAACUGGCAAUGUUCUAGAUAACUGCUAACAGCUCUUACUGACAAGUGUAUGUCAGUGGCUUCUCCUGUGUGUCUCUUACUCGCUGACACUCUGGCUGCACUGUCCAUAUUGGGGACUUAAGGGAGUUCUCUGCAGAGAAACUACUUGAGAGACAACUUAGAGACCCUGUGACAUCAGAGGCAAUUUGUUGGAUACACAGAGAUGGGGGUGCUAUUUCUACACAAUGCUUGACAGGCACUUAGUGUAGGGCCAGGAAGGCAGCCUGGCCUUGAACAUGUAGUGGAGGGGGGUGUAGAGCACUGAGCAUUAGGUGCUUCUGGCACUGAUGCUGAUACAUUUAUUUUAAAUAAGCCUGGUGGUAAAACACUUCCUGCUGUGAUACUCCCAAGUACUGCAUGGGAGAGGUUACGCUUCAGAAUCUUUCUCAUUUUACUUACAGAGUGAUCCCUUUGGUGCUGAUUCUUAACAGUAUGGUGUGUAUGUGGCUCGUUUUAAUUUGCAGAGGGGCAGCAAAACACUUUAAACAACUUAUGACUAAUUUAAUGAAAAGUCUAGUCAGUGUCUGUAACACAUUAAAUGACUCUUAUGUGAGCUGCAACAGACAGAUCUGAGAUGCAAAACAUGAUGUUACUUCUUGGGCAGAAACUGUAAGGGUUAUGCAGCUGCUGGGCUGCAUUGGAAGCCUUUAGUGCUUUUCUUGACAUUGUGUAUGAAUUGUCUUCCAAUUCAGAACCCAUUUAGAAUUACUGAACUGCGCUACAGCU